UUGUUUCAAGCCGUUCUCUGUUCUAGGCGAGUCACCAGCAUCUACAAUUGAGCCGCCAAAUGCAGUGCAUUUACAUGUGUAGAUAUGUAAAUAGGUAUGUGGUACAUGUGCAUCAGGUGAUAACGGAUUUUAAGAGUAUAUUGGUGUGUAUAUACAUCGAGACAAUAAGGGCAGCACGCUGGAAUCACCGUUGUCCGUCGAAACACUCUUGAAAAGGUAUUCAGAAUCACUUUGAUUGACUUAGCAAACACUAUUUUCUAUCACAAUUCUUUAUACACUCAAAUACAAAUUUAAUAAAUCUUUAAUGAGAGUAAUUAGUUUUCUUUACUCUCAGAAUAAAUUGGCAAAGUUAGGUCUUUCUUUGAGGGUUUUGGACUGGCCUUACCACUGAAACUGAGAAUUUACGUGCUUUUUAGCUACCUACCUGCAUUAGAGCACGCGUACCUGCCUCCAAAUCUUCGCCAUCCACGAGUGAAUAGAAGCCUUUGACAUGAUGUUUACGGAACCAUGUAGUGGCUCGGUCUAGCAAAUAAUUUCUAUAACGCUGAGAGCUCGUACCACGCAGCACAUGCCCACAAACGAGUAGCGAAAGAUUCUUCGUCAACAUAUAGGCAAAAUCUACGAGCACUGGACGUGUGUUCGGCAAACCCGACAGCACCAAGAUCUAGUCAGAUGUAAGAGGUUGGCAUAAUGGCGCAUUUAAAUAAUAAAUUUUAUUUUUACCUGCGGUCUAUAGUUUUUCACAUGCUCCUCCACAUUAUUCAACUGCUGCACUGAUAUUAGCGCAUUCUUGUAGGUCUGCGCUUGUGUCGUCGAGCCCCAAUUAACAUCGGGUUUGCGAUACGCGACGAUUAAGUAUAGCGCCAAUACAGCGGCGAAGGUGAUGAGUGCCGUUACCCAAGAGAUAAGGAACAUAACGGCCACACAGAGUAUCGAACCUAUUAAACUAAGCCACAUGUUGUAGUACUGAAGGGAGAGAUUCAAAGAACGUAGAGCAUUAAUUUGAAAAUACAAUAAAUGGAGAAAAUAUGUAUGUGAGUACCUUAAAGGUUGGACGCCAGCCAAUUGGUUUGGCUAAGCUGGCGUGGAAGGUGCUGAAAUUGAUGAGCGUAUAGGCGCCAAGGAAGAAGUUCGAAAUAAGUGGCGCGAUCAAGUUGAGUUCGCCGAUUAAAAUGAAACUGAAAGGUGAAUAAAGCGAGAGAUAUAAAAAAAAUUAAUAAAUUAUAUUAAUAUAAUAUAAUAAAUAUUAAUAUAAUAAAAAUAAGACUCACGCAACAGCAAUGAUGAAUGUUAGCACAUAGCCACGGAAGGGUUCAUUAUUUUUGCCGUAUCCUUUGGCGAACCACACGAUUUUUGGAUAGAGCUCAUCUUUGCACAGCGCCUACAUAGAAUGACAUAACUCAAAGUAAAAUAUUUUCAUAUGAAUUACUUUAAAUAUGCUUAAUAUACCUGAAAUACUUUCGGUGCUGAGACCAAACUGGCCAAGGCGGAUGAAAUGGCUGCCGCAAAACAGCCGGCGUAGAUCAGUGGUCCAAAGCCAGAAACAAGUUCAAUGACUUGAAAUGAGUUUUGUAAACCGUAAUGGCAUUCACCUGGAAUUUAAGUAUUAAUAUUGUUAAAAAAAUAUUGACAAUAUUUAAUAAUAAAAA